GCAGAGACUCAGGACAGGACCAAUUACGUUUUGCUAUGAGGUCAUCGCGGAGGCUUCGGAUUGGUGUUUGUGUGGUAACUGGCCUCCCUGGGUAGACUCGCGUUGAUGGAGACACUGAGUCUGGGCACGGCUCGCCCGCGGGUGUCCUAGAGCUUUCCCAACUCCAGGUCCUUGCAGGUCUCCUGGGAACCUUCCGAAAUGGGCAGCAGAGCGGUGGGGGCGAGCGGCCCUCCCUGCCGCGGCCGGCCCAUCGCUCCAGCCGGGAGCCUGCCCCUCCCUCGCGGCCGUCUUCCUCCCAAGGCUGUGACUGCCGCCACCCCUGCCCACACUGCACGGCCAAGGUGACUGCCAGGCACACCAUCGUCACGUGACCUGCCUGGCGGGCCUCGGGUGCCCAGCUUGAAGCCGAAGGUGAAGGCUUGGUGCCAAAGCACAACAAAAGUUACCGAGAGCCCUGAACAUCUUUCUUUCCCUCAGGGCAACAAGAUUCGAUCCCGGACCUCAUCCGCCUAGGCCUGAGCCAGAAUACCCUUCUCACUCAGGUCUUCCUACUCAUCCAGCAAUGAGGAUGACCUUGAACUCUUGACUGUCUCGACUCUACCUUCUAAGUCUUUUACAGUCUCUGCAGGUACUCACAUGUACACACAUGUACACACACAGACACAGUAAAACAAAGUAAAAAUACCAGACUCAUUGUCACAGGCCGGCAAUCCUAGCACUCCAGAGGUGGAGUCAAGAGAAUGGGAAGUUCAGGGACUCCUGUGAGGACAUAAUUAAUGAAUUUGAGGCCAGUCUGGGCUACAUGAAAUUCUGUCUCAAACUAUAACAACACAAGAUAUGCGGUUAUACUGUGCUGGUUAAGUUUUUGGUGCCUCGACACAAGCUGGAGUCAAGUCAUCUGGAGAGAGGGAACUUCAGUAGAGAAAACACCUCCAUCAGAGUGGCCUGAAGUGAAUCACCUGUAGCAGGCUGACCUUGAACUUGACUCAAGUCAGGCUCAGAUUCUCACCCUCCUGCUGCUGCCUGUGAUCAAGAUAUAAAACUCUCUUCUCUGCUCCUUCUCCAGCACCAUGUCUGGCCACACUCCGCCAUGCUUCCUGUCAGGAUGAUAAACCUCUGAACCUGUGAGC